rnacentral:rRNA from 1 species
GACGAACGCUGGCGGCGUGCCUAAUACAUGCAAGUCGAACGCUUCUUUCCUCCCGAGUGCUUGCCCUCAAUUGGAAAGAGGAGUGGCGGACGGGUGAGUAACACGUGGGUAACCUACCCAUCAGAGGGGGAUGACACUUGGAAACAGGUGCUAAUACCGCAUAACAGUUUAUGCCGCAUGGCAUAAGAGUGAAAGGCGCUUUCGGGUGUCGCUGAUGGAUGGACCCGCGGUGCAUUAGCUAGUUGGUGAGGUAACGGCUCACCAAGGCCACGAUGCAUAGCCGACCUGAGAGGGUGAUCGGCCACACUGGGACUGAGACACGGCCCAGACUCCUACGGGAGGCAGCAGUAGGGAAUCUUCGGCAAUGGACGAAAGUCUGACCGAGCAACGCCGCGUGAGUGAAGAAGGUUUUCGGAUCGUAAAACUCUGUUGUUAGAGAAGAACAAGGACGUUAGUAACUGAACGUCCCCUGACGGUAUCUAACCAGAAAGCCACGGCUAACUACGUG